rnacentral:rRNA from 1 species
GAGUUUGAUCAUGGCUCAGGAUGAACGCUGGCGGCGUGCCUAACACAUGCAAGUCGAACGGAGUUACGAUGAAACCUAGUGAUUCGUAACUUAGUGGCGGACGGGUGAGUAACGCGUGGAUAACCUGCCUUACACUGGGGGAUAACACUUAGAAAUAGGUGCUAAUACCGCAUAAGCGCACGGAGCCGCAUGGCUUAGUGUGAAAAACUCCGGUGGUGUAAGAUGGAUCCGCGUCUGAUUAGCUGGUUGGCGGGGUAGAAGCCCACCAAGGCGACGAUCAGUAGCCGGCCUGAGAGGGUGAACGGCCACAUUGGGACUGAGACACGGCCCAAACUCCUACGGGAGGCAGCAGUGGGGAAUAUUGCACAAUGGGGGAAACCCUGAUGCAGCAACGCCGCGUGAGUGAAGAAGUCAUUCGUGAUGUAAAGCUCUAUCAGCAGGGAAGAAAAUGACGGUACCUGAGUAAGAAGCCCCGGCUAACUACGUGCCAGCAGCCGCGGUAAUACGUAGGGGGCAAGCGUUAUCCGGAUUUACUGGGUGUAAAGGGAGCGUAGACGGCCAGACAAGUCUGAAGUGAAAAUCCAGCGCUUAACGUUGGAAGUGCUUUGGAAACUGCCGGGCUAGAGUGCAGGAGGGGCAGGCGGAAUUCCUAGUGUAGCGGUGAAAUGCGUAGAUAUUAGGAGGAACACCAGUGGCGAAGGCGGCCUGCUGGACUGCAACUGACGUUGAGGCUCGAAGGCGUGGGGAGCAAACAGGAUUAGAUACCCUGGUAGUCCACGCGGUAAACGAUGAUUACUAGGUGUCGGGGGGCUAGAGCCCUUCGGUGCCGUCGCAAACGCAAUAAGUAAUCCACCUGGGGAGUACGUUCGCAAGAAUGAAACUCAAAGGAAUUGACGG